rnacentral:tRNA from 1 species
GGUCCCAUAGCUCAGUUGGUUAGAGCGUCGUACUAAUAUUAUAAGUCUCUUAUAACAUUAGUGAUGCGAAGGUCGUGAGUUCGACCCUCACUGGGACCA